CGUAAGAGCUCGUAGGCGGUUUGUCGCGUCUGCCGUGAAAGUCCGGGGCUCAACUCCGGAUCUGCGGUGGGUACGGGCAGACUAGAGUGAUGUAGGGGAGACUGGAAUUCCUGGUGUAGCGGUGAAAUGCGCAGAUAUCAGGAGGAACACCGAUGGCGAAGGCAGGUCUCUGGGCAUUAACUGACGCUGAGGAGCGAAAGCAUGGGGAGCGAACAGGAUUAGAUACCCUGGUAGUCCAUGCCGUAAACGUUGGGCACUAGGUGUGGGGGACAUUCCACGUUUUCCGCGCCGUAGCUAACGCAUUAAGUGCCCCGCCUGGGGAGUACGGCCGCAAGGCUAAAACUCAAAGGAAUUGACGGGGGCCCGCACAAGCGGCGGAGCAUGCGGAUUAAUUCGAUGCAACGCGAAGAACCUUACCAAGGCUUGACAUGAACCGGUAAUACCUGGAGACAGGUGCCCCGCUUGCGGUCGGUUUACAGGUGGUGCAUGGUUGUCGUCAGCUCGUGUCGUGAGAUGUUGGGUUAAGUCCCGCAACGAGCGCAACCCUCGUUCUAUGUUGCCAGCACGUGAUGGUGGGGACUCAUAGGAGACUGCCGGGGUCAACUCGGAGGAAGGUGGGGACGACGUCAAAUCAUCAUGCCCCUUAUGUCUUGGGCUUCACGCAUGCUACAAUGGCCGGUACAAAGGGUUGCGAUACUGUGAGGUGGAGCUAAUCCCAAAAAGCCGGUCUCAGUUCGGAUUGGGGUCUGCAACUCGACCCCAUGAAGUCGGAGUCGCUAGUAAUCGCAGAUCAGCAACGCUGCGGUGAAUACGUUCCCGGGCCUUGUACACACCGCCCGUCAAGUCACGAAAGUUGGUAACACCCGAAG
rnacentral:rRNA from 1 species